AGUGAACGCUGGCGGUAGGCCUAACACAUGCAAGUCGAACGGCAGCACAGUAAGAGCUUGCUCUUACGGGUGGCGAGUGGCGGACGGGUGAGGAAUACAUCGGAAUCUACUUUUUCGUGGGGGAUAACGUAGGGAAACUUACGCUAAUACCGCAUACGACCUACGGGUGAAAGCAGUUGAUCUUCGGACCUUGCUCGAUUGAAUGAGCCGAUGUCGGAUUAGCUAGUUGGCGGGGUAAAGGCCCACCAAGGCGACGAUCCGUAGCUGGUCUGAGAGGAUGAUCAGCCACACUGGAAGUGAGACACGGUCCAGACUCCUACGGGAGGCAGCAGUGGGGAAUAUUGGACAAUGGGCGGAAGCCUGAUCCAGCCAUACCGCGUGGGUGAAGAAGGCCUUCGGGUUGUAAAGCCCUUUUGUUGGGAAAGAAAAGCAGCAGGUUAAUACCACGCUGUUCUGACGGUACCCAAAGAAUAAGCACCGGCUAACUUCGU
rnacentral:rRNA from 1 species